CCCUUAGAUGUUCUGGGCCGCACGCGCGCUACACUGAUGCAUUCAACGAGUCUAAAACCUGGUCUGAUAGGGCUGGGUAAUCUUUUGAAUGUGCAUCGUGAUUGGGAUAGAUGAUUGCAAUUCUCCAUCUUCAACGAGGAAUGCCUAGUAAACGCAAGUCAUCAGCUUGCAUUGAUUACGUCCCUGCCCUUUGUACACACCGCCCGUCGCUCCUACCGAUUGAAUGUUCCGAUGAAUACCAUGGACUGAGAGUAUGAAUGGGUUCGCCUAUUUCUGCUUCUCGGGAAGUGGAGUAAAUCUUAACAUUUAGAGGAAGGAGAAGUCGUAACA
rnacentral:rRNA from 1 species